rnacentral:rRNA from 1 species
GACAGAGGGUGCAAACGUUGUUCGGAUUUACUGGGCGUAAAGCGCGUGUAGGCGGCUUGGCAAGUUGGAUGUGAAAGCCCACGGCUCAACCGUGGAAGAGCAUCCAAAACUGCCUCGCUCGAGUCUCGGAGAGGAAGGUGGAAUGCUUGGUGUAGAGGUGAAAUUCGUAGAUAUCAAGCAGAACACCUGCGGCGAAGGCGGCCUUCUGGACGAUGACUGACGCUGAGACGCGAAAGCGUGGGGAGCAAACAGG